rnacentral:rRNA from 1 species
UGGGGAAUUUUGGACAAUGGGCGCAAGCCUGAUCCAGCCAUGCCGCGUGCGGGAAGAAGGCCUUCGGGUUGUAAACCGCUUUUGUCAGGGAAGAAAUCUUCUGAGUUAAUACCUCGGGGAGGAUGACGGUACCUGAAGAAUAAGCACCGGCUAACUACGUGCCAGCAGCCGCGGUAAUACGUAGGGUGCAAGCGUUAAUCGGAAUUACUGGGCGUAAAGCGCGCGCAGGCGGUUUUGUAAGACAGAGGUGAAAUCCCCGGGCUCAACCUGGGAACUGCCUUUGUGACUGCAAGGCUUGAGUGCGGCAGAGGGGGAUGGAAUUCCGCGUGUAGCAGUGAAAUGCGUAGAUAUGCGGGGGAACACCGAUGGCGAAGGCAAUCCCCCUGGGCCUGCACUGACGCUCAUGCACGAAAGCGUGGGGGAGCAGACAGGAUUAGAUACCCC